GUAGGUGGCAAGCGUUGUCCGGAAUUAUUGGGCGUAAAGCGCGCGCAGGCGGUCCUUUAGGUCUGAUGUGAAAGCCCACGGGCUCAACCGUGGAGGGUCAUUGGAUACUGGGGGACUUGAGUACAGAAGAGGAAAGCGGAAUUCCACGUGUAGCGGUGAAAUGCGUAGAGAUGUGGAGGAACACCAGUGGCGAAGGCGGCUUUCUGGUCUGUAACUGACGCUGAGGCGCGAAAGCGUGGGGAGCAAACAGGAUUAGAUACCCUGGUAGUCCACGCCGUAAACGAUGAGUGCUAAGUGUUAGGGGGUUUCCGCCCCUUAGUGCUGCGGCUAACGCAUUAAGCACUCCGCCUGGGGAGUACGGCCGCAAAGGCUG
rnacentral:rRNA from 1 species